rnacentral:misc_RNA from 1 species
UAUGGUAUGAACAACAAGGAGGGUCUAAUAGCAGUUUUUGACCUUGGUGGUGGGACAUUUGAUGUUUCAAUUUUAGAGAUCUCUAAUGGUGUUUUUGAGGUGAAAGCAACAAAUGGCGACACAUUCUUGGGAGGAGAGGACUUUGACAAUGCACUGCUGGAGUUCUUAGUGAGUGAAUUCAAGAGAACUGAGGGCAUUGAUCUCACAAAGGACAGGCUGGCUCUGCAGAGGCUUCGUGAAGCAGCAGAAAAGGCUAAGAUAGAGAAAAGGCCAAGAUAGAGCUCUCAUCAACAGCCCAGACUGAAAUCAACUUGCCAUUUAUC